ensembl:lncRNA
AUGGCACAGCAGCAUAGGACCGGUCCUCACAGACCCCAUAUCAGUUCUUUUGGGGUUUUCAUUUAUGAACUGUCCCCACCAGUGCUGGUGGCUUUCCCAGGGCCAGCUGCUCCCCAUGAGCUCUUGAAGAGAAGGGAGAAAAUGAACACUGUUUUGCAUUUGUCUUUCUGUACAUCUGUAUUAUUUUCACAUUGUUUAAACUCCUCGGAUGUGUUUCCAAGUGACCAGAGCACAGACAGAAGCAUACAGAAUGCUGUCAGCAGGCACGUUGCCAUGGUGACAGAGAGGGGAACCCUGGUGUUGGGAAACUUGCACGCGGAGGGAAGAUUGAUGGAGGUGAGAAACAGACCACUAUUUCUCUUAGCUCAGGACGUUCUGCUCAAAGUGCGUACCAAAAAAAAAAAUACAAACCAGAAACAACAACUUGAAUCUACAAGAACGAGAAAAUUCAGAUGUAAAACAUCAACACUGAGCCCCAUCCACUGUAUUCUGAUCACAUCAAUCUCUCAGACCAACAGAAGGGCAAUCUCUCCUACCAGAAACAGGAUAUUUUCAUGUCUAUUCCUCUUCGUUCCAGUACAGAGCUGGAACAGAGAACGGGAACGCCGCUCUGCCACUGUGUCAGAUGAUUAA